AGUAAACAUCAAAAGUGUGGGAGCAGACUUUGAGGUUACUGAUGGAGAGAGAUUGCCUUUAGCUGUUAAGGAGAUGGGAACUUGUGAUCUUUAUCCUCAAGGAGUUAUCACUAAACAAAUGACUGCAAUAGAAGAAAUGGUUGCAAGUGAGUACAAUUAGCCAGACCCUCAUCUUUGUGACAAGAUCUUGAAGUUAGUCAUUUGUGAAGCGUUCUAGUUUGCUAUUAGUUGCAGUUUUAGUUAUUGCUCUCUCAAUAUAUUCUUUUUCUUUCUUU